UCAAGUUUGGAUUGGUAGAGUAGAGCUGAUGACUUCAAUUGACAACAGCUGAAGCUUGUUAGCUUUAAAGAGCUUUGCCAGUGAUUCAACGCAAGAUGGAAGAGCGAAUGUUUGGAUCAGAAAGCAGUGUGUUCAUCAGUCUUUAAGAAAACCAGGCAGCGACAUACAUCCAGCCAGUCGUCCAAAGGGAAAAGCAUCGGACCGACCGACAUCAUCAACUUGGCUUUUUUAUUGAACUGAAGAUCUGAACCUAAUUAUCAGAUUGAUUGAGACCCGACUGCAUGCUGCUUCCUCCACUCAUACCCCUGCUGCAUAUUAAUUGCUCAACAGUGUGAUCAAUGUGUGUUCAGAGAGGGGGAAAAAAAACAAAAACAAACAAAAAUAAAACAAACUGUUUGACAGUUACUGCUAAUGUUAUAAGCUGGUAGAGU